rnacentral:lncRNA from 1 species
ACAUCACGUUUCUCCCACGGGGCCGGGAAGUGUCACAGGGCCUCGAUGGGGGAUGAAGGCUGCCUUAGGUCUAAAACGAGGUCGUGCUCUACUUUGGGAAGUGGAAGGCGGGGGGGGGGGGGGGGGGGGGGGGGGCACAGUAUCCGACACCCCGAGCGCGGAGGAAGCGCGUGCACCGGGCCGGCUGCAGGCUGAGCCCUGGAUCUGGGCCGUGGGGGCAGCCAGGGCGGCGGUCCCGGCCAGCCCCGAAGGCCACCCACACUGCUGGGCUUUUACCUUGGAGGAUGUGGGACAGAGCGGUCUGGACUCCGACCACCGCGGCAGACAGGCCCUGACCCCGGGAGCAGGCCAGGUGGAGGCGGACGCCACAGAGGACGGCCUCCUCCCCGGCCUCCCUUCCCGCAGCACCCCUCCUCCUGCAGGUCUCCUGACCCGAGACAAGAUCCCCCUGCACCGAUGCAAAGCGCGGCCCUGA